GACGUAGGGGGCCAGCGUUGUUCGGAAUUACUGGGUGUAAAGGGUUCGUAGGCGGUGUGGCAAGUCGGGAGUGAAAUCUCUGGGCUCAACCCAGAGGCUGCUUCCGAAACUGCUGUGCUUGAGUGUGGGAGAGGCGCGUGGAAUUGCAGGUGUAGCGGUGAAAUGCGUAGAUAUCUGCAGGAACACCCGUGGCGAAAGCGGCGCGCUGGACCGGUAUUGACGCUGAGGCGCGAAAGCCAGGGGAGCAAACGGG
rnacentral:rRNA from 1 species